rnacentral:lncRNA from 1 species
UCCAGUGGUUCGACACUCGUCCUUCGUCCCCUAAACCCAGACACACCUCGACACCACGAACGGGUCUGGGCUGUCAAAACACGCGACGGCGUGUUGAGUUCCAAUAACUUGCACAAUGAUUAAUGAGCGGCUUGAUAAUUUAAUACCGCGUAUGAUUAAAUUAUAAGGCGUGGGGGAGGGGAGCCUGGGCGGACGCCGCGGAGCGAGCGGUUCGCCGCUACGCGCAAAGCCGCGCUCACCCUCUGCGCAGCGCUCUGCAAAGCUCCGAGAGCUGUGGGUCCGCGCCUUCCAAGUGAGCUGUCCUGGGUGCUGAUGCUGGAUGGGCAUCUCCGUCCCUGAGAUGUGUUCCAAACGAAAGAACUUCAGCACUUAGGCCUGUGUGUGGAUAACUGCAGACCAUCUUCAGAGAUGACUGUAAAAUAUCCCUGACCAUCACAGAUGUCAGCCAGCUCCAUGGUUCUCUUCUCUCUCUCCCCUGCCCAGGACUCAUGAUUACAAUUGACAGAAGGAACCAGGGCAUCAAGAAUAUGCUGGAGGAUUGGAGGCCACUGAGGUUGAGGGAAGGAGAACUGGGAAGGAAGGUCCCUGCGAACACGUCUCCCUCAUGUCAGCCAGGCCAGUUGUCCAGGAGACAUUCUGAAUAAUGCCUCAUCCUGGAAGUGGCUUGUGUUCUCAUGGACAGCGGAGAAAAAUGGAAACAUGAGCCAAAGGAAGAUUCCAGAACCUAGGAACAUGUUUGUGCGGGUCUGCAGACAGCAGACAGACAUCCCUCCAUUCUCUGAGAGCCACUCUUCUGUGUUAUGACUGGACCCGUAGUCACUAGGUUUCCAAAGGCAGAGUAAGUCUGUGGGAAAACUGACCCCUGGUGUCCACAGGGAGUGGAGUAGGUAUUAUUUGUUGUAUUUUAGUAGGACCUUUAGUGGAAUCACUAAAGGAAGAUCAGCUGACAACUAGGAUGAGUAUAAGAGCUGAAAAGUGACUUUCACGGCUGUCCCUGGUAACUAGAAUACGUCUAUAGCUUCCUGAAUAGACAACCCCACCCUACUUUUUUUCUUUCUUCUUUGGCCGCAUCUAUGGCAUAUGGAAGUUCCAGGGCCAGGGCUUGAAUCUGAGCCACAGCUUUGACUUGUGCUACCACUGCUGCAAUAUGAUUACUUUAACCCACUAUGGGGGCAGGGGAUCAAAACUGCAUCUCUGCAGUGACCCAAGCUACUUCUUUGGCUCCUUAACCCAAGGCACAACAGUGGGCAUUCCCCCCAACCCAACUUUUAAUUUUUUUUUUUUUUUUGCUUUUUAGGGCCACAUUCACGGCAUAUGGAGGUUCCCAGGCUAGGGGUCCAAUCGGAGCUACAGCUGCAGGCCUACACUACAGCCACAGCAACGCUGGAUCCUUAACCCACUGAGCGAGGCCAGGGAUCGAACCUGCAACCUCAUGGUUCCUAGCUGGAUUCAUUUCUGCUGCGCCAUGGCAGGAACUCCCCAAUUUAUAAAUCGAAUGCCCUGAAUUGCCAUUUUGGAUCAAAAAGUUUCUGUGUUCUGUCAGUUAAACAUGGCUUGCUGCAGCCCACCUCAUGCUAAGGAUAACAGAUGUGUACAAGGUGAUGGCUUCUACACAUUAUCAUGACUAGCAACUUUUU